rnacentral:rRNA from 1 species
UUGAACGCUGGCGGCAUGCCUUACACAUGCAAGUCGAACGGCAGCACGGGAGCAAUCCUGGUGGCGAGUGGCGAACGGGUGAGUAAUGUAUCGGAACGUACCUUUCAGUGGGAGAUAACGUAGCGAAAGUUACGCUAAUACCGCAUAUUCUGUGUGCAGGAAAGCAGGGGAUCGCAAGACCUUGCGCUGAUUGAGCGGCCGAUAUCAGAUUAGCUAGUUGGUGAGGUAAAGGCUCACCAAGGCGACGAUCUGUAGCGGGUCUGAGAGGAUGAUCCGCCACACUGGAACUGAGACACGGUCCAGACUCCUACGGGAGGCAGCAGUGGAGAAUUUUGGACAAUGGGGGCAACCCUGAUCCAGCCAUGCCGCGUGAGUGAAGAAGGCCUUUGGGUUGUAAAGCUCUUUCGGCCGGGAAGAAAUCGCAUGGGUUAAUACCCUGUGCGGAUGACGGUACCGGCAUAAGAAGCACCGGCUAACUACGUG